AGAGUUUGAUCAUGGCUCAGGACGAACGCUGGCGGCGUGCCUAAUACAUGCAAGUCGAACGAAACUUUCUUACACCGAAUGCUUGCAUUCACCGUAAGAAGUUGAGUGGCGGACGGGUGAGUAACACGUGGGUAACCUGCCUAAAAGAAGGGGAUAACACUUGGAAACAGGUGCUAAUACCGUAUAUCUCUAAGGAUCGCAUGAUCCUUAGAUGAAAGAUGGUUCUGCUAUCGCUUUUAGAUGGACCCGCGGCGUAUUAACUAGUUGGUGGGGUAACGGCCAACCAAGGUGAUGAUACGUAGCCGAACUGAGAGGUUGAUCGGCCACAUUGGGACUGAGACACGGCCCAAACUCCUACGGGAGGCAGCAGUGGGGAAUCUUCCACAAUGGACGCAAGUCUGAUGGAGCAACGCCGCGUGAGUGAAGAAGGUCUUCGGAUCGUAAAACUCUGUUGUUAGAGAAGAACACGAGUGAGAGUAACUGUUCAUUCGAUGACGGUAUCUAACCAGCAAGUCACGGCUAACUACGUGCCAGCAGCCGCGGUAAUACGUAGGUGGCAAGCGUUGUCCGGAUUUAUUGGGCGUAAAGGGAACGCAGGCGGUCUUUUAAGUCUGAUGUGAAAGCCUUCGGCUUAACCGGAGUAGUGCAUUGGAAACUGGAAGACUUGAGUGCAGAAGAGGAGAGUGGAACUCCAUGUGUAGCGGUGAAAUGCGUAGAUAUAUGGAAGAACACCAGUGGCGAAAGCGGCUCUCUGGUCUGUAACUGACGCUGAGGUUCGAAAGCGUGGGUAGCAAACAGGAUUAGAUACCCUGGUAGUC
rnacentral:rRNA from 1 species